rnacentral:rRNA from 1 species
AGCAGCCGCGGUAAUUCCAGCUCCAAUAGCGUAUAUUAAAGUUGUUGCAGUUAAAAAGCUCGUAGUUGAACUUCGGGGUUCCCCCAUUGGUCAGGCUUAACUGUCUGUACUGGUGGGAGGGAUUCUUACCUUCUGAGGAAUCUCCAUGCCAUUAAUUUGGUGUGGUGGGGAAUCAGGACUAUUACUUUGAAAAAAUUGAGUGUUUAAAGCAGGCUAACGUCUGAAUACAUUAGCAUGGAAUAAUGAAAUAGGACGGCUUGGUUCUAUUUGUUGGUUUCUAGGAUCACCGUAAUGAUUAAUAGGGAUAGUCGGGGGCAUUAGUAUUCAAUUGUCAGAGGUGAAAUUCUUGGAUUUAUUGAAGACUAACUACUGCGAAAGCAUUUGCCAAGGAUGUUUCAUUAAUCAAGAACGAAAGUUAGGGAUCGAAGACGAUCAGAUACCGUCGUAGUCUUAACCNUAAACCUAUGCCGACUAGGGAUCGGACGAAGUUAAGUUUUUAAAUGUACUCGUUCGGCUACCU